UACGUAGGGGGCCAGCGUUGUCCGGAAUCAUUGGGCGUAAAGCGCGCGUAGGCGGCCAGAUAAGUCCGGUGUGAAAGUCAAAGGCUCAACCUUUGAAUGCCGCUAGAAACUGCCUGGCUUGAGUCCGGAAGGGGCGAGUGGAAUUCCUGGUGUAGCGGUGAAAUGUGUAGAGAUCGGGAGGAACACCGGUGGCGAAGGCGGGUCUCUGGGCAUCUCCUGACGCUGAGGCGCGAAAGCGUGGGGAGCAAACGGG
rnacentral:rRNA from 1 species